AAAAAAGAGAAAUUUAUAUCUUUAAAAAAUAUUUUUAAAGCAUAAUAAAAGUGAUUUAUGUUUGAAAAGGAAAUUUGUCUGCAGAAAUAUUCUACAUCAUUUCUAAAGCACUUGACAAUCAUCAGUUCAUCACCUAGAGUUUGUUUUAAGUCAGGUUAAAUAUGCUAAAAAAUUGAAAUAUAUUUUAUUGUUGUAGCAAGUUUUUCAAGAGUGAGUUAUUGAUUAUUGAUUGUAGCAUGAAUUAUACAUUUACUAUAGCUUGUUGUAGCAAUUUCAAAUGUGAAUUAUUGAUUGAUGCGUGAAAUAUUUUUCUUAAACUGAAUGAAACAAAUACCAAGAACUUAACAAGUCAGUUACGGAAUCUAGUUAAUAGAGUCAUUCUUGGGUUCACCCCCUAGGAUUUCAUUAUUUUAAAUUCGAUAUCUUUUAAAAAAAAACAAAAUAUUCUCAAAUUAUAUUAUGUUUUUAAAAUAAAAAAGUAAAAAAAGAUAAUAGUUACAGAAAAAGAAUUAAAAAAAAAUAUCUUUAAUGUUCUCAACAAAACACUAAACCUUAAAUUCUAAUCCCUAAACCCUAAAUCCUAAACCCUAAACCCUUGGGUAAACCCUAAACCCUUGGGUAAACCCUAAACCUUUGGAUAAAUCCUAAACUCUAAAUAAAAAACACUAAAACCCUAAACCCUAAACGCUUGAAUGUUUUAGUGUAUAGUGAUUUUGAUUUAGAGUUUAGGAUUUAUCCUAGAGUUUAGGAUUUAUCCUAAAGUUUAGAGUUUAUCCAAGGGUUUAGGAUUAAGAGUUUAGGAAUUAGAAUUUAGGGUUUAGGGUUUAAUGUUAUGUUGAAGACGUAAAAUAUUUUUUUUUUGUAAUUAUUACUAUUUUUUUUUACCUUUUAAUUUUAAAAACAUAACAUAAUUUGACAAUAUUUUGUUUCCUUUUUUAAAAGAUAUCGAAUAUAAAAUAAAACAAUCCUAUUGGUUGGUGAACUUAGAGGUUCACUCUAGGGGGUGGACCUAAGAAUAAGUCUAGUUAAUAUGUGACUUGGAUUUAUUAUGUUUGAAAACAACCACAAAGCCAGGAAAAUACAGAUCCAUCAAUUUGUGUCAAAUUAGAGAGAAAUACAUGUACCAGCAAUGAUACUCAGAAUACCAAAAAGAAGAAAUACAUUUUUUUUAAUGAAAUGUUAAAUUUAUUUAUCAUCAUGCCAAGAGGGGUUUAUGUACAAGUAAAAAAAAAAAAAAAAGAGAGCUACAUCUGAAAAAAAUUAGCUGUGUACGCUGAACCAGUGUUGGAGAAGACCUCUUGUUCUCGGAUAGAUGUUGUACUCUGUACACAUACUUUUAACAAAGAAAUAAUAUUUUCUAUUGAGAAAAAGACCAAAAUAGCACUAAAUCAAGUUUUUGUUUUCAAACUAUCACUCAAGG
rnacentral:lncRNA from 1 species